rnacentral:rRNA from 1 species
UGCAAGUCGACGGUAGCAGGAAGGNAGCUUGCUUUCUUUGCUGACGAGUGGCGGACGGGUGAGUAAUGCUUGGGAAUCUGGCUUAUGGAGGGGGAUAACUGCGGGAAACUGCAGCUAAUACCGCGUAAAGUCUUUGGACUAAAGGGGGCGUUUGCUCUUGCCAUAAGAUGAGCCCAAGUGGGAUUAGGUAGUUGGUGGGGUAAUGGCUCACCAAGCCGUCGAUCUCUAGCUGGUCUGAGAGGAUGACCAGCCACACCGGGACUGAGACACGGCCCGGACUCCUACGGGAGGCAGCAGUGGGGAAUAUUGCGCAAUGGGGGGAACCCUGACGCAGCCAUGCCGCGUGAAUGAAGAAGGCCUUCGGGUUGUAAAGUUCUUUCGGUGAUGAGGAAGGCAGUUUGGUUAAUAGCCAAGNUGAUUGACGUUAGUCACAGAAGAAGCACCGGCUAACUCCGUGCCAGCAGCCGCGGUAAUACGGAGGGUGCGAGCGUUAAUCGGAAUAACUGGGCGUAAAGGGCACGCAGGCGGAUUUUUAAGUGAGGUGUGAAAGCCCUGGGCUUAACCUGGGAAUUGCAUUUCAGACUGGGAAUCUAGAGUACUUUAGGGAGGGGUAGAAUUCCACGUGUAGCGGUGAAAUGCGUAGAGAUGUGGAGGAAUAUCGAAGGCGAAGGCAGCCCCUUGGGAAUGUACUGACGCUCAUGUGCGAAAGCGUGGGGAGCAAACAGGAUUAGAUACCCUGGUAGUCCACGCUGUAAACGCUGUCGAUUUGGGGNUUGGGNUUUNANUNUGANGCCCGUAGCUAACGUGAUAAAUCGACCGCCUGGGGAGUACGGCCGCAAGGU